rnacentral:rRNA from 1 species
UACGUAGGGGGCAAGCGUUGUCCGGAUUCAUUGGGCGUAAAGAGCGUGUAGGCGGCCAGGCAGGUCCGCUGUGAAAACUCGAGGCUCAACCUCGAGAUGUCGGUGGAAACCGUCUGGCUAGAGUCCGGAAGAGGAGAGUGGAAUUCCCGGUGUAGCGGUGAAAUGCGCAGAUAUCGGGAAGAACACCAGUGGCGAAGGCGGCUCUCUGGGACGGUACUGACGCUGAGACGCGAAAGCGUGGGGAGCGAACAGG